AGAGUUUGAUCAUGGCUCAGAACGAACGCUGGCGGCAGGCCUAACACAUGCAAGUCGAGCGAGACCUUCGGGUCUAGCGGCGGACGGGUUAGUAACGCGUGGGAAUAUACCCUUCACUACGGAAUAGCCUCGGGAAACUGGGAGUAAUACCGUAUACGCCCUUUGGGGGAAAGAUUUAUCGGUGAAGGAUUAGCCCGCGUCUGAUUAGAUAGUUGGUGGGGUAAUGGCCUACCAAGUCUACGAUCAGUAGCUGGUUUGAGAGGAUGAUCAGCAACACUGGGACUGAGACACGGCCCAGACUCCUACGGGAGGCAGCAGUGGGGAAUCUUAGACAAUGGGCGCAAGCCUGAUCUAGCCAUGCCGCGUGAGUGACGAAGGCCUUAGGGUCGUAAAGCUCUUUCGCCAGAGAUGAUAAUGACAGUAUC
rnacentral:rRNA from 1 species